GACGAACGCUGGCGGCGUGCUUAACACAUGCAAGUCGAACGGAAAGGCCCUGCUUUUGUGGGGUGCUCGAGUGGCGAACGGGUGCGUAACACGUGAGUAACCUGCCCUUGUCUUUGGGAUAACUUCAGGUAACUGGGGCUAAUACCGGACAGGAGCCCCCGCUGCAUGGAGGGGGUUGGAAAGUUUCGGCGGUUGGGGAUGGAUUCGCGGCUUAUCAGCUUGCUGGUUGGGUAGUUGCUUACCAAGGCUGUGACGGGUAGGCGGCCUGAGAGGGUGGCCGGGCACAAGGGGACUAAGAUACGGCCCAGACUCCUACAGGAGGCAGCAGUGGGGAGUAUGGCACAGUGAGCGGAAGCCUGUUGCAGCGGCGCCGCGUGCGGGAUGACGGCCUGCGGGUAGAAAACCGCUUUCGCCUGUGACGAAGCGGGAGUGACGGUAAUGGGUAAAUAAGCACCGGCUAACUACGUG
rnacentral:rRNA from 1 species